rnacentral:rRNA from 16 species
GGAUGUGAUCAUACCAGCACUAAAGCACCGGAUCMCAUCAGAACUCCGAAGUUAAGCGUGCUUGGGCGAGAGUAGUACUAGGAUGGGUGACCUCCUGGGAAGUCCUCGURUUGCCUUCC